rnacentral:tRNA from 1 species
GCCUCGUUAGCUUAGUGGUAGAGCGUCCUUCGUAAGGGAAAGGUCUUGAGUGCAAUCCUCAAACGGGGCA